UGAACCUCCCCGCUAGAAUUAAAACGUCACCCAUAUGAAGGAGGGUUUCAGAGAGCGUCUUAGGCCAUGUGGAGGAAUGUGGUCAACGGGGGAGGGAGAGAGGGAGGGAGGGAGUCAGUUGGGGGGGUACAGCAAGUUAGGAACUGUUGGGAAGAAGUACAGGUAGAUCGGACGUAGAGGAUUCAUAGCAUUUCCUCCUGCCUAUGACUCGUUCAAAAGGUAGAGAGAGGGAAGGAGGAAGUCAGUCAGGGGGAGUUACAGCGAAGUACAGAUAGAUCGAAGGUUAAGUAGAGGAAUCAUAUGCAUUUCCUCCUGCCUAUGACUCGUUCUAAAGGGAGAGAGGGAAGGAGGGAGUCAGUUAGUUGGGUUACAGCAAGUUAGCGACAGCCGUAGAAGAGAAAAAGUAGAGGAAAAGUAGAAGUAGAGUAGAUGAUUCCUCUGUAUUUCCUCUAUGACUCUUUCAAAGGGAGAGAGGGAAGGAGGGAGUCAGUUAGUUGGGUUACAGCAAGUUAGCGACAACCGUAGAAGAGAAAAAGUAGAGGAAAAGUAGAAGUAGAGUAGAUGAUUCCUCUGUAUUUCCUCUACGACUCUUCCAGAAGGUGAUUAUUAAGACACCUCUCUCGAACUAACUAACAACCUUUUUCUGGAACGUUGCUUAGCGGGCUUUUUUGUUUCUUAUAUUUUGCCGCCCUUGAGCUGCUUCCAUUGCUCUCUAAAAAAAAUCACGCUGGCAGUCUUUCCCGUCAGUCUUUGUGUGUUAUGGGACCCUGGAAGAUGCCCUACACUAAUAACCUAUAACCAGCCCAUGUGUAAAGGAAGAAGGGAGAGAGGCAUCGAGGGUCCACAGCGAGUUUCAGAGAGAACAGUAAAGAAAAAAAUACAGGUCUAAUCACAUUGGCAGAUUUUCCCGUUAGUCUGUGUGUUACGGGACCCUGGAAGAUGCCCCUCACUACCAACCCUUAACCAACCCGUAUGUGAGGAAUGGAAGGAGGGAACCAUCGAGGGUGUAAGCAAGUUUUAGAGACAAGGAAGAAGAAAAGGUCUUAUCACACUGGCAGAUUUUCCCGUUAGUCUGUGUGUUACGGGACCCUGGAAGAUGCCCCUCACUACCAACCCUUAACCAACCCGUAUGUGAGGAAUGGAAGGAGGGAACCAUCGAGGGUGUAAGCAAGUUUUAGAGACAAGAAAGAAUAAAGGUCUUAUCACACAGUCUUUCCCGUUAGCCAAGUGUUACGGGACUCCGGCGCAUGCCCUACUUGGCGGGUCCAUAACCUUCCACCCACCAGCUUAAUUUACCAAGAUGCCUCAGGUCGGGAUCUCGGACUCUCAGGUCGGUAUUUUAAGACACUUUUGCUUCUCACAUCAACUAUUUCUAAGGGUCAAAAAGGGGAUCAGUCGGGUUCUAAUGAGUGUUUCUUUGGGUUCAUGGUACAGAAGAAGGGUCAGACUAUCAUCAGGGUUAUUAAACUACUCCAGGAAAUGCCCCAAACUCCUACGAAAGCUUUGUCAACUAUGUGAACUUGGGCGACGAAAUGUUUAGUAAUACCGCCCUUAAUUAAUUCCGCCUCUCAAAUCAACAUUUCCAGAGGUCGAAAAUGAGACCAAUCGGGUUUUAAUGAGUGACUUUUCUGGUUCAUUGUAUACAUAAAAAAUCAAACUACCACCAGGGUCAUAAAACUACCCCUGGCAAUAUUUUUUUUACAACAAAGGAGACAGCUCAAGGGCACACAAAAAAGGAAACAAUAAUAAAAAAGGAAACAAUAAUAAAAAAAGCCCGCUACUCGCUGCUCCUAAAAAGAAUCCAAAGAGCUGGCCGAAGGAGAGGUCAGGUUCGGGAGGAGAGGUGUCCUGAUGCUCAAAACUCCUACGAAAGCCUUGUCAGAUUUGUACUAUGGGUCCGAAAUGUUUAGAAACUUCUUGGAUUGAAUAGAAAUAACGGUCUGUGUUUAUUGGGACGAACACCUCGCUGACAUAUUAUUACUGAAAAAUAGCAAUAAAGGAAGUGAGAAAACAGAAGAAAGGAAAAAUUACUUAAAAAAAAACUCUGGAAGGAAAGAAAGACAAAGAAUUCAGAAGACUAAAACAAAAGUGCAAAACCAGUGAAGAAACAAACAAACUAGAUGUCAAGUGAAUAUUGAAAUAGAAAAUAAGAGUUAAAGCAACAUUGGGUGAAAAAAAAAAUCCGGGAGCGGUUGCAAAGGCAUAUCCCGGGACUACACACAGAGUUAAAUACAUAUAACUCUGUGGGACUACAUCUGAUGAUCUGAGUACAAGAGCAGGACAAUGGAGUAGGUAACGGUUGAAUAUACCCUGACCACGAUAAACAUAAACACUUCCUUCAAGACCCACCCACCACUAUGUUUUAAACCAACUUAGAUCCCUUAUAAAAAUGAUGAUCUUGGUUCACCGGAUAUCGUAUAGAACAGAGGACAAGGGAACAGGAAGUAGCGGAAAGUGUUUUUGAUGCUGCCAAACGUUUCCUGUAAGACUCCACGUGUACAGCAGACCAUGGGAAAUGCCUCAUAGUAAAUUAAAGCAUGGUAAAUAAACAGUAGGAAACCAGGAAAAGGGGGAAUGGGAUGAAGUCAAAACUGUGUGUGGAAGGUUAUUAAAGGGCGUGUGGAGAGAGAGAGAGAGAGAGAGAGAGAGAGAGAGAGAGAGAGAGAGAGAGAGAGAGAGAGAGAACAUUACAUUGAGGCAGGCGAGUAAAUGAGUUAGGAGGAGGUUGAUGAAGGGAAUAACCAGGAAAUAAGCUGGAAGAGAGGGCGGAAAACGAAAAGGGGAUAGAGAAAGAGAGUGGCUGGGAGGAGAGGAGAGGAGGGUCGAACAUCAGGGAAGGAAGAGGAAAGAAAGACAUGAGCGGAGGAUGGAAAGAGAACAAGAGAAAGGAGGAAACAUAUGCUUGAUAGAAUGAGGAGGGAAAGAAAAACCGAAGAUAAAAAAAAAAAAUUAGUUAACGAAUAGAGAGCGAGGGAAAAAACCCCCACCUGAGAACGAAAGAAAGGAGGAAGGACAGAAUGACGAAGGAAGGAAAGGAAGGAUAGGUGGAGAAGGGAUCAUAAAAGCGAUGCAUGGACGAACAAAGAGCAAGAGGAGUGGAAGACUUGAGUGUGGGUGGAAAGAGGACGAGAGGAAGUAGGAGGAAGGAUACAGGUGACAGAAUGAGGAAGGAU